rnacentral:lncRNA from 1 species
UGGUUUUAUUUUGAUGCUUCGUGGAAAGCUCUAAUUUAUCCCUGCCGUCCACAAUCCUAUUCUUUUCUUUUCUACUUAUUUAGAAGCGCGAGUUGAGGAGCUCUUCGUCGUCCUGCUUCGGGGUUAUUUUCGGAAAUGUUCCCUCUAAGUGGCUUAAAGCUGUUCUCGUGUACAUCCUAUUUCUUCAACACCUAAGCGCCAGGACGGUCUUCAAUUUCUCAUCUCACCCUGUGCUCUCUCUCUUUCUCUCCUCUCUGCCUCUCUUUAGAUUCUUUUCGUAUGGAUCUCUCUGUUUCCCUUUGUUUUCUCACUAAGAUUGGAAUUAAAGCUGCGUAUUGUGGGCUGUUGAUUUUGUUCCUGUGUUUUUUUUUAUAUUCCAAGAGUUCUGGUCGAAUUGUACCCCCAAGUUGCUUCCACUAUAACUCUUCACACCACUGGAGAAGAUGACCAUUUGUAAUAGGAUAUUUGCCGCGUCUAUGAUCAGGUGUUGAGGUGUACUUUCUUUUGUCAAACACGUGGUGUGCAAUUCUUCAAUCUUCCCUUGUGUCUGUGUUGGUAGAUCUCUGUCGUUCCCUUUUAGGUUUGGAAUUAAAGCUAUGUAAUUUGGGUUGAGCUCAUUCUCAUAGGGUUGGAGUCAGUGCUGGAUAUGUAUCUUCAAAGAGCGACGAGUGUAAAACGUGGCUGCCAACGCUGUUGGACUCACUGUUUGCACAGUUCAAUUUUCUUUUUACGGCUGCUGGGUGAUUCAUUUUCUUCCUCCUGUUGUUCUCCGUGUUGGCGCUGCUGAAACGUAAAAUUACGAAUUCUGCUGAGAGGUGAGACUUGCUUUUGCUAAAAUUUCAUGUUCCUUGUUGUGGGCUACUCUGCUGACAAGUUCGACUUAGUUCUUUUAGUUAGCUUUCUCUUUCAUCUUGAUAAAUCUUAUGGCUCUACUUGGAUUAUGAACUGACAUAUAACGAACUACAUAUAUGAGUUAAGUUUUUAGUUAAAGCGGACAUAGGAUUAAUGGCAAUUCGAUACUAUAAAUGAUUCCAGGAUGAGGUGCCUCUUUUUGGUUUUAAUAUUUAAAAAGUGAUAACCAACUGCUUGGCAUAUUUUACUUCGUAGUUUGAUUUGGAUUAAGGUUUGGGAAGUUGGAUAAGGAAAGAGAACUGGCUUAUGCUGAAUCUGCGAUCCUGCAAGCAAUUGCAAACAGAACACUUUGGCCUUUUUUUAAGAAAGGAGAAGCAUUGACCUUUUUGUCCACAAUAUUGAUCUUUUGUACUUCUAAGUCCUAUGCGGAGAGAUUUUUAGUUCCAUCUGAAGGAGUGAAGGUAAAAAUUUUGCAAUAAUUAUUUGUUUGAACUAUCUUUCUCCCUAUUGGAAAUGAUUGUAUCCUCUAUAUCUCCAAACCAUAAACUGCAAAAUAAGAAUCGCAGGCUUGACUUGCUUCUUUAGCAUAUUGUUCAAUUUGUCUUUUCAGCGAACAUAAGGUCUGCGGCAAAUGUGAUAUCUCAAGAAUCUUACGUAGAAUUUUUUUUAUAGCACAUACACAAUUGCCAGGUUCUUAUCUGACAGAUCCAGAAUUGCAUAUGACAUUGCACAGAGAAGGCAGUUUAAAAAUACAGAAAUGGAUGAAAAUCUUCUAACUCAUAUUACAGUCAAUGAGACUGCAAUUCAUUUGUGCUAAAAACUAUGACAUGGAUUUUUGAAAAUGAUUGUAAACAAUGUAAGCACACAUCAAGUCUACUCGAUAAUGGUGCAGUUGUCGAGACUUUUUGACUAAAGAAUACAUGUGCUUCAAUAAAGUAAUAAAGUCCGAGAAUUCCCAGGAUAUUUUGUUUUUAUUUUGCUGAGCAUUAGCUUUUAACAACUAAUGGGAUGUAGGAAAAUUGUUGUAACCCAACAAGUUAAUGAACCCACUUGGUGUCAGCCAUUCAUCUUCACGUGCUAAUAUGGCCAUCCGGAUUUAAAACCUUCUAUGACAGACUUUUUCAAAAAAAGAAAUAGGUAAAGUGAACAUAUACGAAAAGGUCCUAAGAGGGUUGCCGCAAUGGGCUGUAGAGUCAAAUACUUGGCAACUAUAGCUGCAGGACAAUGCCAAAAUUGCUAUGUGUAAUGUGUUUAACGACCUUGAUUUGGCCAACAGAUUCCUAAGACCUUGUAGAUCCAUUAGCUAAUAUAUUGAUUUACAUCACCUAUCACCAUAUAUGUGACCUCUUCUUUCCGUAGUAUAUGCACAUUUUAAGCUCUCUAUGAUGGUUAUUUAAUUGUAAGAAUGCAUAUGGGCUUGUGAAUGUGUGACUGAUUUCAUGUUUCCAAAGAUCUCAUCUUUAUUUCAAGAUUAACUUGGGGCAAAUCUUCUUCUAACCCAUGCCCAAAAUAUAGUUAUAUGGUUUGGAAUGCAUGAUUAUGCUCUCUGCAACUGUGACAACCCCAUGAAGUUGGAAUAGCAUGCCAUGAAAGCAAUCAAGACCUUAAUCAGUGUCAGUUGAUUAACGGAAGCGUCUCUUAGGAAAUGUUUGACAGCAUAGUUGGAGAAGUUGUUGAAGAAAUUGAAGUACCUACAGAUACCCUUGUAAGUGAUGAUUUGUGUUCCUUAUACAGUUUCUUCCCAGUGUAAUCCCCACUAGUGGGAUUACACUGGGCCGUUGUUGUUGUUGUUGUUGUUGUUGUUAUACAGAUACACCACAAAAUUCGGAGGAGAAAAUUCUCAUGUUUGAUAUGUUUGCCUUAUGUGAGUGUUUACAUUGUGAGUCCAGUUAAUAUCACUUCCAUCCCUUUUUGAUAGAAAUGGAAAGAUAUGGUGAUGAAUCUGGUUUACAUAAAGUACUUAUUUUCAUCAUUUGUCGGCGCUAUUGUGCCAAAUAAGUUUUCUGACAUUAUAUAGAGAUUUCUCUUUUCCUGAAGUUACAUCAUAUGUAAUGAAAAUUAUGUAGGAAGUAAUUAUAUUUGACAGUAAGUAAGCUACAUCAAGAGUAAGAAAAUUGUUUUGAGCACAAAUGUAGUACCUAAAAGUUCCUUUGGCAACUUGCUUCAGAAAUAAAUAGAAGACUGCAAUCACAAAUAUCAACUCAAAUUGCCCUCGGGACGUUGGUUCAGUGCUAAGGAUACAACGUCGGGCUCUAUUCCGAACAAUAGGUUAGCUACAAAACCACAAUCUGGAUGAAUUUGCACAAAAGACCAAACGUCCAGCAAUAAAAGGAAAAAAAAUAAUAAGGUUUCCAUUUUUUUUGUUCUUUCUAGAUAAUAGCAAAAUUCAAGAAAGUAUAUAAUUUUGAACUGCCCCAAAUUUUUAGCUAACACUUCCAUGGCUAAACAAGCAAAUCACAAUGUCGCAUAAAUGGAAGAUCUCAACCACUGGACAUAACAUUAAUUUCAGAAAUUUGGUAACUAACUGUAAUAUUCUAUGAUUUAUCUGUAUGAAAAGUGAGAACAUUGAAGUACACACUUUUUUCACUAUAAACUCACUAAUUUGAAGUAAUUCCACCUAUUUCUUAUCUGCUCUAAACUCAUAACUCCUUAUCCCGUUGUGAUUUAGAAUAUCUUAAUCUGCUAAAGAAUCCCCUCCCCCCCCCCCCCCUCCAAACUUCCCCAUGGAGUCUUAACAUAUGUGGUCACCUUUAGUGGGUCGUAUCCAUUAAAUGUGCAGUUAUUUUCGAGAAAUACAGUCCAAUUUAAAUUUUGUACCACGUGUCAGAACUUCUGCUAAUAAGAAGCAAAACUCAGAUAGCCUAACUUGGGUGUUACUCAAUUUCACAACUGCCUUGGUGACCUUGGUACUUCCCUACAAUAUGAAUUGGACAUGAUUAAAGAGGACAACAUUAAAGGCAUAUAUGACACUCUUGAGGAGUGUGCUUUAUUGGCAAACCAACUGGAGGAAAUAGAAUAUUUGUGAUUUACAAAUAUGAAGUAUCUUAUUUUUCCAAUUUAUCACAUUUGCAGUGUAUAUAGUAAGUUCAUUCUUCGAUCUUGGUGUGACUUCUUUGAACUCCCUUUAGACAAGCUACUCGAAAUCAAACUUACACCAUAUCUCUCUCAAUUGGAAAAUAUUCUGUAUUCUAAGACUACUGCAGGGGUCGAUAGCUCAAUUUCUUGGUCGGACUAACUUUGGUAGGAAAAUCACUUAUUCUUGUUCAUGUUUUAACUCUGCCUUUCUUACUUCAAUAUAUUCUUAGCUUCUGCAAGAAUGUGACUCAUCAUGCGUAUCAUUUGAUUCAGUUAGUUUGCAAUAUCUAAUGUAAAUAUGUUGGAUUCUGCAUUCAAGUUUGGUAAUUUCAACCCCUCCUUGAUAAAAAAUAAAUUUCAUCUCAUUUCUUCCGGCUUUUUAUGUGAUUUGUCUUUUCAAAGAAAUAACUCUGACGGGAUGAGGAGCUGUGUUAAUUGAUUACCCAUGAAUCAUAGGAACUUAACCAAAGUUGUCCCGAGACAAGGUCAAUAUUUUACUAAGAAUAGGUUAUUAGAAAUGAAUGAAGAGUGACUAACCAGUACUUCUUUGGAUCCAAUAGAUGAUACAAGAAAAGAAGAGCAGAAUAAGAAAGCAAAAGGAUGUUGCUACUUUCUACGGCAAGUCCGGUCUUUAAAACACAAGUUGGCCAUUUAGCAUGCCAAUGGUUUGAAUAUUUUAGACAUGAGUUAGAGUAAGCAAAAAACAGUAUAAACUGAAGCUUGUUUGAUAUUUAAAAGGUUUUUUCUUCUACUCCAUAUAUUCCCAUUCUUAAUAGCAUGCUUCGUGUUUAUUGAUUUUAAAAUAGUUCAAAGACAACAUAGCACCUUUGUUGAUCGGUUUCUGGGAUUUAAUUUCGCUACAUCUAAAUUGCUUUCUAGCCGCCAAUGAAAGCAUCUGUAUUCUGAAAGGAAAAAGAAAAGAAAAGAAAGUAUCGAUAUUUUGUACAAUUUAUUCAUUUACUUCAAUUGAAAACAGCGUUGGCGUACUGUGUAUUGCAAUUUAAAGACUUUAUCUAGGUUUUCAGUAAGUUUUUCCUGUGACACAGUAAUUUAAAAGUGCACAUAUUUAUUAUGGUGUUGCUAACUUCAUUAUACUAAAACAUUUUGGAGUUGGUUCACUUGAAGAUGUGGUUUGUUACCUCUUUAAAGUCUUCACGAUAAACUCUUUUUUAGGUUGUUUCAGUAUAUAAACCUAGGAGUUAAAGAGGCAAUGCUAAAUGCAAAUUGAUUUGGUCUUUUAAGAAGAUUGCCUGAAUGGUAAAGUAAACAACAUUUGGGGCGUCAUUUCUUGAAAGCUCAUUUCGUACAUAAUGACUUUUUUUAAUUGUGUCAUGACUUUAUAAAUCUUUGCUUCCAUGACUUUAUAAAAUCUCUGCUUCCAGUGUGAUGUGUAAAACCUUGAUUUACUAAGUAUGUAACAUAACAUAAUGAUUCUAUGUCAUGACAUCUCAAAAUUCCUACUGGAACGGAUCUUUGCAGGUAACACCUAGAAUUAGUUGAGGUGCGCAUAAGCUGGUCCGGACAUCAUGAUUAUUAAGAAAUGGAAUAAUUCAUCAGAGAUACUUAAUUGGGGCUGCUGGAUAACGGAGAAGUAUGAAGCAGUGAGUGAUACAGAUACUCCUAUGGGCUUUUCUUCUCUUCAGAUAGUUUUAUGUCCAUAAUUUAGGAAUUUUGAGAAGACUACUAAAUUGAUGAGGUCAAUCGGCAGCUUCAUCUCUCAAAUGAGCUCUUCACUCAUCUGCAGACUGUUUAUUAGUAAAACAUCAUCUGCAAUUUAUUUAGUAUUAAAAUAGGUCAAUAAGUCUGGAAUAGUUCAAUCCGGUAAAGAAAUUCUAACAAAUUAAUACCACAGAUUUUAAGUGCAACCAGGUGACGCAGUUGCCUUGGCCAUCUCUGAUUUACUAAAGUCCAUGAGCCAUAUUUAAAGUAUCCGGUUCAUGCUAUUAUAAAUAGGUGUGUUCCUAGCUUAUUUAUGUGUGGAGAUUUCUAACAAAAUAUUUUCCUUCAGUAUCUAAGAUAUUUUUAUUUUCUUUGGUGGUUGCAGCAUAAUGAACGAGCUUGCUGACAAAUUCAACACUGCAUAUGACAGGCAUAGCAGGAGGGGUGGACAAGCUACUUUUGUUUGAAAAUUUAUAUAUUGACAAUUUGCUCUUAUGGAAUCUCCUAUGUAGCAGUAGCUACAUGUUUUGCUGAGUUUAGGGAUCACAUAGGAACCAAAGUAGUGUGUUUGCUUCUUUUCUCUCUUUAGUCUUAGUUGCCCAUACAUUAUAACCUUAAUUCUUGUUGCACCAUUAUAUACGUGUGUGAAAGUGGUAGAGGAUUUUGGCUUCAGAAGCUUUUACUCAGCAUGCUUGGGCCUGUUGUUGCCCGGUAGCUGUAGUGUUAUGCAUGUACUAAUUUAAUUUGAGAUUCUGGGCAUAUGUUCUUCCUUUCCCGCAACCCAACCCUUUUAAUACCAAGAUAAUCUUCAUCGUACUUUCUUGGUGAAUGUUAGUCUUUCCUCCCUUCAAAAUUACUUUCAAGUUUGCAAUUUUCUUUCCCCGUUGAAAUGAAUUUCAGUUUAAUUUAUACAAAAU